UACAGAGGUCCCAAGCGUUGUUCGGAAUUACUGGGCGUAAAGCGUGCGUAGGUGGUUUCUUAAGUCUGCUGUGAAAGCCCCGGGCUCAACCUGGGAAUUGCAGUGGAUACUGGGGAGCUAGAGUGCGGUAGAGGGUAGUGGAAUUCCCGGUGUAGCGGUGAAAUGCGUAGAGAUCGGGAGGAACACCAGUGGCGAAGGCGGCUACCUGGACCAGCACUGACACUGAGGCACGAAAGCGUGGGGAGCAAACAGG
rnacentral:rRNA from 1 species